UGGCGGCCGGGGUUGGCCCCAGUAGCACAGUCGCGCGGCAAACUCCCGUAAGAAAGCACGUAGUCGGCGGUUCGAGACGCGCUCUCGUGCGAUCUGCACCCCCGUCCGACAAUGGACGGAUUUUUUUCCAACCCCCUCGACGAGUUCGAGAGUUCGGGCCGCUGACCCGCCACCCCCGUCGCCGCGCACUCUCCCACACACCGAGGGGGAUGUCGUACUUUCCCUGUGACUAUCGUUGGAGCCGGAUUUUCCGCGAGACGCGACGUCGGGGUUUUUCCUGAAGAAAUCGUGGCUCGGACAAACGAGAGGAACGAGAGAUGGAGCGAGAGGGAGAAUGGACUUGGCAGGUAAACAGCGAUCCAUUAUUAAAUGUUACUCGUUGGGAAGUAAAGAUGUCAAUUUCGAGACAUCGAUCUCGAUGGAAUCCACUGGAACACGAUGUGUUAUACAGUCAACAGCUGUGCGCAAAUGUUCAUUUGAUUGCUAGCUGUUCGACACAAGUGCGUGUAAUUUUCGAACCUGAUCUGUCAAUGGUGCACAAGUCGUACCCAAUUUUAAUAGCAGGCGAUAUUUUCAGCAAUAGUAUUUACAACGCUAUUAAUUGCACGUUAAUUAUUCUGCUGAAAAAAAAUCCGAGCAAUAAAGAGGAUCAAUGCGGAGCACUUAAGCAAUAAUCCAAUUAAGAUGAUGGAAAUUUCACGAGCUUUCACGGUGCGCGCGGUACGCUAAAAGAUACUCCAGCGAGUUCUAGUCUAUUCGAAAGACAGUUAUGUUGCUGGAUUGCCGAAGAUUAAAUUCACUUGAUGGCAAUCAGAGAUUAAAUUUACUUAGGCAAUUGACGAUAUUUGGCGGAGUAUUUUUCUACGAAACGAUCCGCUGAGAUUUUGAGAAGCGUUGUCGAGGAACGGGCAUCAACGUGCGCGGUCUUACGAGACUGAACACGAGGUGAUCGUGUUCGUUGUGAAUUUGUCGGCGAUGUUUAUGUCUGCGUUUUGCAGCGUCGCAUUUUGUGUGACUGGCGCUUGACAUAAUGCAAAAGUUCCCGAAUGGCGCCAGAUGCGUCUCGCCUGCAAGUGAGAAAAACACGCCAACUGUCUCACCCACACCGUUGCUCGUUACUGAAAGUAGUCUAAUUUACCAGAGUGUCUCCUUGCGCGACACAUCGGCGCGAGACGUAUCUUCUCAGAAUCUCAGAACGCAACACGAUGUCGCGCAAAUGUUUUCUGAUUAGCGGUAAUUUCCCUUCUCGUAAUUUAUUUUAAUACUGACGGACAUUCCACGCCGCGGGAUAUCGCAAUAUAUACAAUGCGCUACAAAAUUUCAUGUACAAUAAUGAUAUCAAAUUUGUGUUUACGAAUCAUAUUACCGUCGUUCCAAAUAAUUCUAAGCGAUAUUAAUUACCAAACGUAUCAUGAAAUAUCAAUAAUCACUGAUAGCUUUAAACUAAAAGUCUUCUAAAUAGAUUACCGCGAUAUAAUCAGCAAAACGAGAUCAGCAAAACUUCUGAGAUAGUUAAUCAAAUUUAACAGCUUAAACAUAUUUACAAUUACUCGCAUAUAAUUCGAAUACUUGUUUCUCACAUCAAUAAGGAUUCUUCGCAGCGAUGAUCAUCACGAUCACCAUCGUGUCAAUCAGAUCACGCGAUAAAGGGACGCUCAAUCCUGUCCAUUAUCACGAAACAAAGUAGCCCGAGCAAACUCAUUAGGACGCAUGGCACCGAUCGGACGCGUUGCAACCAGACGCAAUGUCGUGUCGGAUGAGCGGCGAGUGUGCGCGCGACAAUUUGCUCGACGAUUCAUCGCUUAAGCGCCACGAGAUUAACGCGCUGCACGUGCAGGCAAAUGCUGCAAAAUUGAAUCUUCAUGGCGCGUUACAGGUCCUCUCUCUCUCUCUCUCUCUUGCAUGCGCGCGCUAUUUCUCGUUCUUUCUCUCUUCCUCGCUUUCAUCUUCUUGUUGCUCCGCUCCGGCAGAGACGACGUGUAAACGCGACGGCGGCGUCAGCGAAAACGUGAGCACGUCGAUACUUCCGAAUGGCGAGCGUUUUAGAGCCACGAUCAUCACUGGCGGCUGCAUCGUUACGCGUGAUAUAACGGUGAUCAUCCAAGGAAUCGUCGCUACGUGUUAACGUCCCGUUAACGGGAUUAAGUGCCAAUUACGUUCUUACCGCCGCGAAAUUACGUGGCACGGUUAAACUUCUAAUUUGAUAAGUGGCCGUUAACUGCACUCGAGCAGUGUGUCUGGCUCACGCUUCAACAACCGAUGCACCCGUCGUAGUUGUUUGCAUCGUGAUAUUUCUUGGCUCGACGAUGACUUCCUUCCGAAACAGACGCGUUUCCGCGCGACGCGAUUAGCACGGUGUUUCACGCGUGGAAAGCCCGAACGCCCCAACGCGAACGCUACGUAUGGAAGAGUAUUUAAAGCUUGGUGAUUAAAAUUAGCGAUGCACAGUGAUGUAUAUUUAGGGACAUUCCGAAUUAAUCGAUGGAAAGCGUAUCGCGCGAACUUUUAAUCCGUACCUAUUUUCGGAGAUGAUUUACAGUGAGUUAUUUAUUCACGAUGUAGCGUAAAAUCUAGCAAUUUUUAUAAGCCCCGUGCACGGUUCGUGAUUGGAGUUAAUAAUUGAGAGAUUCAGUAUCUGGAUUUUCUUCCCCCGAGUUGUUUCUCUCUCGGUGCGAGCAUAUCUACGCUUAUAAACGACGUUUUCUACUCUUUUCUGCUUCAUAACGUUGUUGGUUUUAAGACAUGUCCCAUUGUCGCCGUAAAAAUACGCUCGAAGUUGGCACAAUUUAUUUCACUGUAUCUCUCUGUCUCUCUCUUUGUUUUAUUUUAUUUUUAUGCGCGUAUUUGGCGCACGCAGUCGACUCUGCAUGCGAAAUCUUUUAUUUAUCUCUCCGUGUUAUUAUCGCUUCCGGCUGGUUUAAUAAAAUAAUUAUGUAUUUAAUUAUGGAUCUUUUGAACGAUAGUCUCGCAGCUUUUGUUUCUCAAUGUAUUCAAAGAUGCUCGUGUGCGCGAUAUACAAAUAUCAUUACUAUGAUUCAAAGCUUAUCGCAAGCUAUCGCGAGGGUCUUGCUAAUUGCAGCUGCAACAAUCUCGCGAUCACGUUUCAAUUUGUCCCAGCGCUCCGUAAUUUAUACGCAAUUUAUGCUCAACCCCUCUCGGCGCGAGACGCGCCACGAUGUUUAUCGGAGGCUCCCAAGUAGUCUCAAGUUCAUCUGACUUACAGGGUAUCCAGGACCGCGCGCGCCUCCCUUCUAUCACAGGUUCUUUCGUGAGCUCGACAUCUCUCGUCUUCCGUUUCGAUAGCAAAGAUUCGGGUCUACAAGUCGCUGCAGAUCGAAAAAAAGUCUGCGAAUCGUCAUCGCGCGUACAUUCGCACAGAUCUUUCUAAAAUAAUCCGAGAGCUAACUGACAUCACUGAUAUCCCAUCGCGCGCGCGGUAAAUAGCCGUGAGCGACCAGCAGAAGUAGGAAAUAAAAAAUAGAGAGAACCGGGAAGGAAGAGCGAAAAGCUAUAAGUACACGACAAGGACGAGAAGGCCGACCUCCGGUAAUUUUCAUUCCGGGGCGAGACAGCGACGAGGCUCUGAGAGAGGCUGAAACGUCGUUUAAGGAAAUCUUGCCUUAAGUCGAGAGCCGUAGCGUUUAACGCAAUUGGAGCUCAUUUAAAAAUCCCAUCAAAAAUGUACUCGGAAAUAUCUGCGUGUCCCUGCCACCCUCCCGCGAGGAUCACCAACCGCCCCUUCAGCACCAUUCCCCGCGCCGACCUCCGUCGCCACUACGCCGCUACACCGCCCCUCACUUAAACCACCCCCCGAGGCUAUUUCUGCGGCCCUGCCGCUUCUGCCUUACUAUCCACCCUCUUUUUGAUCGUCACCCUCGCCGCUACCACCCUUCUUCUAUCAAACGCGCGCGCGCACACACACUCAUACACAUUCUCGCGUCUUCUCGCAGACUUCUUCCUUCUCUCGCUUUCGUCAUCGCAUCUUUCCUUGGAGCAUCUGACGAACCUCGGAAAGCCCGAAGAGAGACAGUGCCAGGGGCUGUUUGAUUGGAUUGUAAGCUCGAUUUACACUACCUUCGGCUCUCCAGGCAUCUCUCUCUCUCUCUCUUUCUCUCUCUCUCUCUCUCUCUCUCUCUCUGCCUCUCUCGUGAACACGAGCCGACACGGUCCAUCUACGUACCAAUUUUGCGAACCAGAGCGUUUUAGGAAGUUAGUAGAUGAGCACGAGCCCGAGAGCGAGCGCGGCGCGACUCGGGCAAUAAAAUAACGUCGACGGUGACCGAGUUACAAAGGACAAGUUACGCGAGAGCUAAAUAACGUUUGUUUAACAAACGUUUCCCUCUUUUUUUUCGUACGUACGUGUGCGUGCGCGCGUGUCGGGACUGCAGUUUUGAACGAUGUCUGUAAAGUGAGGUUUUGCCAACUCGAAAAGGUUUGUCGCGUAUUUCCGGUCGCAGUCUCGACCAAAUGUCUUUCGCAAUUUCAAGGUCUGUGCACGUUGUGCAAGUUUGGUCGCACGAGGAGAGAGGAAGAAACAAGAAACGUGGAAAGUAUGACGGAAAGCGCUACACGCGUACGUAAAUUUGAUGAAGAGGCAUAGAAUGCUCCAGAAUGUUAAUGUUCAACCGCAUAAACGGUUCUGAGAGACCGAUGUGCGCGAGAACGAUUAAAACCGCGCGCGCGAGUCUUGGGCGGAACUUUAACAAAUCACGGCGUGAUGGUAUCGACAGAAGUAUCGACAACUUUGCAUUCGCGAGCCGUCAAAACGUCGCGCGGAGUUGAAUGACUCGAUGAUUGCAAAGCAUCCAGAAAAUUUGUUUUCGCAGUAAUGAAGCGCCGCCGUUAACGAACCCAUUGUUCACAUGCGGAGUUUUGUUUCUUCGUUCUCGCCCCGAUUAUACGCUCCGCAUUAUUCGCCGUAACGCGAAAAUGGCUGCUCUUCGCAACUUACUCAUUAACGCGUGAAAGUAGUACAUCUUCCGGUGUGUAAUAUGAAUCCUUUCCAUAAAAAUAUACUUUAAUGUAAAAUAGUACUUUGAUAAACAUCAGCGAACACCUACGGAAAAUUCUUCGACAUUCAUAACAAGAUUUUUUUAUGAAAUAAGUUUUUCAAUGCAGUUUGUAUAAAAUAAUUAUGAACCUUAUAUUCGGAUAAUUUGUUAGAUGAUAUAUCAGCGAAACAUUUUUUCGUGUAAUAUCACAUUUAGAAAUUAGAUUACACAAAAUAUUUUUUAUUACACAGAAGUUUUGCGAUAUUGGUUUCAUUUAACUUUUAUCUCUCAUCAUCUGUGUAAUAUCAAAAGGGUAUCGUAGUUUGAUAAAACACAGCUCUGAUGGUAUUUAACAAAAUCGAGACAGGCAAUCAUGGUGCGUCGAAAGGCAGAAGAGGAAGAGAGCGAGAUAAACGGAAAGAGAAACGUGUCUAUUUUCGAUUCGACGAGAUAGCCCGACUAUUGUUCGGAUCCAACAAUUUUAUUCAUCUCGAUCGUGCGAACCGGUGGAACCGAUAUUGCAGCAAAUACAGCAACGAAACAUUCUCAUGUUAUAAUAGAUAAGGUGAGCUGUAGCGAUAAUUAUUUCUAGCCACGUGCUCUGCCCUUAUUACUUCAUCCGUCGAAAUUUCCUUCGGGUAAUUGGGUAAUCGGGGAUGAAAUGCGAUAAAUGUUAGAUAAAAAAGCAUUAAAUUAAAUCGUGGCACUGUACAAUGCGAGCAUGACGAAAAUCAAAGAGAAUAAUUAAUUCACGAAUUUUUUUAUAAUAAAAACAAAUGUUGCGGAGAGCAGCUCGGGUAAAAAGAUACAUCUGUGCAGUUGUGACUUUAUAAUAAGAGGCUUUAAUAGUAAGAGGCUCUUUAUAAUGAGGCUUUGUAUAAUGGAAAAAAUCAUAUAUAGUGCCUUAUUAAUAAUUAAUUGAAAUCUGAGAAAUUAUUUGUUUAAAUUUGCAACGUCCGGAUUGUAUGUCGAUACUGCAUUUACCACCACGGGCUCUUCUAUUUAUUUUGCUCUCGAUGCUCGUAUUUUAUCCUGUGCUUCAUUGCGCUUCCCGGCGCUAAUGUAGGCAGACGCAAGGUGCGGCGAUUAUCCGCAAGUAGUCAAUGGCUGACUUUACAGCACCACGACGUAGUUUGUAGCAGGCGGGGUUUAAUAUCGCCGAGCUGCUUGCUUGCGGCGAUGUUGUCACUUCUGGCAGGCUCCACUCCGGCUCCCCGGCAAGUAUCUUAAUCUUUAAUUAUCGCCCCCUCACCAUCCUCUUAAUUACGGCGUAAUUGUAGUUAGAUAGCGUAUCAGUGUCCCGCACAGAAAAAGUUUGACGGCGGACGAACGUCGGUGAGGUCGGCGUGAACGACGUCGAUCCCGAGACGUCCAAUUAUCAGGGCCCGAUAAUCGGCCGGUGCAGAGAACGAGCCAGCCGGGAAGAUCCCAGACGAACGAGAGAGAAACGGUUCAAGGAUAAACGAGAAACCGUCUUCCUGCCGCGAUGAGUUUCAUGCGAUCGCCGCGUUAACCACGGAGAAAACCUUCGGGUUUUUUAAUAACGCCGUAGCCUCCUGGCGAUGCCGUUCAACGCACGAGGCUGUCGUUCCUCUCGCAAAUAAUUCCGCCCGUAACAAGUGCGAGAGGCAGCACCAAAAUCCAAUAAUUCUCGCGUAUGGAUCGCGACCGUUAUCAAACACUGUUCUGUAGCCUACGAAUUAAAAAAUUAAUAGUAAAUAUGCGAAGGAUUUAGAUAGCUAGUAAGUAUUUCUGUGUUAAUAUUUCUUUCUUCUCUAUGCUGUAAUCAUGUUUGAAUCCACGGAAUCAUUGGUAACCGAUGCGAGCCUGAGUGCAUCGCCGAAUAUGCGACGCAUGAUCUAUGCAUUUUCCGACAUAUGUAGAUAGACGGACGAUGAUUACCCCCCGAUGCGAACGUAAUUACAAUCGGGCAGGGAGAGGCAAGAGUAUAGCUUACAUGUAAAUUGCUGCUUAUAGAGUCGAUCGUGCUAGACUCUAUAUCCCGGCAGCUAGAUUAGAAAAAGCACGGAGCCUCUUACACGCCUGACUAGCCACGAGGUAGUACCACCGUGAAGAAAGGGGGUUGAAAGGGGGAGGGAGACUGGAUGGUUCGCAAGCGUAAAAGAGGAUGCAGCGGGGAAGGCGGAGCUUCGAGAUAAAAAGGGUAAAGAAAGGCACACUAACGAGAGAGAGAGAAAGAGAGAGAGGGUGAGCGUGAGAAAGAAAGAGAACGUGUGCGCGGAGGGUUGAUACUCGAAGAACGCUAAUUCGGUGCCGGGCUUGAUAAUCAAGCGGACUAACGAUGAAUCUCGCAGCCACUCCGCCUAAUCUCGCGCGCUAUGUCGAAAUAAGGAGAGAUAGAGCGACCGAGAUAAGGGAGUUGCGCGAGAUCCGCGCCAACAUCCGUAAUUAGUAUCCCCGUCGAGCGCGGCGGCUGAAAUAAUACGCGUGAAAUAUAGUCGCGACCCCGUCAAAUGCGUUAAAUGGAUACUUCGAGUUUUAACUCGAAUCUUCACUCGGCUUGUCUGAUGUUAAACGCAGAUUGUAUUACUCUAUUAAAUAACCAGCGAAUCUCCUAAAUUUUAUAAGUUUCUUUAUAGCGAAAGCUUUUUCACGUACAUUGGUAUGAAAUAAAUUUUUAAAUACCGAUAAAUAUAAAACGUAUAUACCGGAGCUUUACAGAUACGUGUAUUAAUAAAUUUCAUAUAUAAAUAUCGAAUGUAGGUAGACUGACGAUACUAAAGAUGACAGAGAGAAUAAAGAAUGUUAGUGCAUCGUCAUAAAAAAAAGAUUUUAACGACAGUCAUGAAUGCAUUCAAUCUAGACCGAUCUAGUUUCGACUAUCAAGACCGACGGCCGUUAGGGAGUAACAAAUAGUUCCGUAAUAAGGACGUACGAGGAUGUCGCCUGGCGGGGAAUAUCCGGUGAAAAGAUCCGCCGGAAAAAUAUCGAGGGGAGGCCGCGCGUCGGCAGACCUGCUAUAGCUAUAGGCAAUGAACUCGCAGCGAUUUUUACGGCGCGUCUGUGCGUAUAGACGGCAAUCCUAUCUACGCGCAUACAUCUACUUUCGUUUACGUAUUUUCCUUUCCUGCGCCUGUGAGGCAGGGGAUUGGGAAAGCCAUGAAAGGAAUCGGCGAAGAGCGGAAAGGCUGACGACGACGACGAGGAAUCGCACAUCUCGCGCUCGAAUGCGAGACGCAGCAGCGCUGAAUUCAGCUGAGCUGAUUGAUAUCACGGGAAAAAUUCCGCGCCAAUAUGCACACGUAUAACUCCUCGACAACGAGGUCGUACUCGCUGCGCGCACUGCUACGUGAGAUUUCACCGAUUCGUCUUUACGCAAUAAUCGCGCGACAGCCAAAUUGACGCGGAUCGCGUUCUCGAUUAACUUGGAAUUGAUUGCACGUGGUGCGAUUUUUCUCUCUCGCAAGGGCACACUGUUUGUCGUUAUUGCAUGAUUAGUUUUUCGCUGAAUGCUGAGCAUUUCCGACCACAAUCACUUUUAAUGAACAUUAACGCCUGAUCGCGAAAUCACAGAGAUAAUAAUACGUGGGUGCCACGUGCGCGUAAUGAAAGAGCUUGCGAUAAAAGCACGGCAUGCCUCAAUAACUCGUUGAUUCACAGCAAUCUCGAUUCAAGCUCACAUGACAGAGAGUCAGCCCUUCUCCACGUGCGCUUGGGUUAAAGGUCGACCGAUAUGCAAAUUAAGGUUAUCGCGUGGUUGGUUUAAAAGGUGAAAGAAUGAAUAAACGCAGUGUCUAAGUUCCUUCAUCUCACUUGCAAUCGCGCUCAAACGAUUGCAUUCUCAAUCACCACGGAUGAAGAGGAAACUGUUUUUUAAUAGUUAUAUUCUUUUUUUUAUUAAAUCUUUCGUUUAUGAAUGGCAAUUGCACGGAUGUUCAUGUUUAUUGAAUAGCUCAAUAAUUCUCGAAAUACUUUCUCGUAGUUAAGUGCAUGAGCGACAAUUUCGAGUGGCACGAUUGAACUUGACAGCGAUACGCUUCAAAAAAUAUGUCGACCGCGCGCAGUAACUACAACGAGAGCACUAAAAGCGAGCGAAAUCGUCCCCCCCGGGCACUAACACUUAAACCUCUAAAAAAUUAAAUUACCUCCUAAUGGGUAAUGGCGAGCCUCGCGGAAAACAGCCGGCGAUAAAAUUAGAGCCAAAGCCUCGAACGCCUGUAAAAUUUUAUUUUAUUUGCCAGCCGGCAAUUCGACUCGGAUUCUGCCAGUUCUAUGUCUCGCUUGUAACAUUCCCGUAAGCAUACGCCUUCACCAUUGCAGUAUGGGAUCCAUAGAAACCGCGCGCAAACAGUGCUAAAUAAUAACAAUCUACAUCCACACGUAAAUUAUGAGCUUCCUUGUGAGAAAUUUAUGUAGAUAACGCAUGAUUUACGAGAACAACUAUGAUGACGCAUUCGCUUCAUUGUAACUUCGUAACUCACAGUGAAACGCAAUAUCUUUUUCCAUCAGAAUAAAAAUAAUCAUUAAAAAUCAUUUGACGAGCGAGAAAUUAGCUCGAGUCUCUAAUCGCCGGUAGGAUUGCACGUCCUACGCAUCCUCCCACACAUAUUACGUAAUCCCAAGAUUUUUUCUCACGCGGAUGCAGCUUCAUCGGCGUUUCCACGCUGCUCCGCAUGUAGAUUACGCUCCGGCUUGAUUUAAAAUCCUUAACACCGGGAUUCCGAGCGAUACCAAAAUAAACCGUCGUGCAAAUUCUGCCGCUCGAUAAGAGGAAACAAUUCCCUCGCGCAUGUAGAAAACCAAUUGCAAGCCGGGAUUGAAAUGGAAUGCCGCGCAAAGACGACGGCGCGUCUUCGAUCGCACGCCGAAGGAAGAUUUCCGAUGAGAGUCGUAUCUACGUCGUUAAAGGGGUUAAAGGGGGUCGCGAGCCGCGUCAGCACGUACCACGACGACGAAAUCACGUCCGCGCGAGCGUGUGCACGCGACCGUCCGCGCGUCGCGCGGAUUGCGGUCGGGGCUCUGCGUAUAGGUGCACUCUCGCUCGCACACCUCAAUCCUCUUUCUUCAACCCUUUCGCGCUAUCGCGCCGGAACUGCCGAAGUCUUCGCACUAACGCGAACGGGACGCGCUCGUCGUCGAUGCACGUGAAGCCGGGAUCGCUUUCACGUAAAUACCCAGCCAGUAUAUAUAACGGGUGCGCAUAAAGGAGGAGCGUACAUAUGGGAUAUGAAGAGAAGUAAGAACGCAGAGAGAGAAAGAGAGAGAGAGAGAGGGGGGGGGAGAGAAAGAGAAGCUCCCGGCAGAUAGCGGCCGGGUAAUAGCGAGGAACCAUCCGGCAGAAAAUCUCUUCCGCUGAAUAUAGUUCGAGAGAGUGGAAGAAGAGGAGAGAGAACGGGGAACGGGAGAAGAGCGUAAUAUAAUGGAUAUACGCGAGCUGUCACGCAAUGCAUACUAAGCUCCUCUGACCGUUCGCGGGUUGUUGCGACCUUUGCCAUCGCUUCUUUUUUUCAUCCAGCCUCCACCGCUCGUGGUUAAGCCGACAGGCAGCCGUUAAGCCGCCUGAGUCGGAUUGUCUUUCGGUUCUGUCAUCGGAUCAUCUUCGCGAGACACGCCGGCAAGACGCUUCCUCCCGCCUCGUUCUCUCGCGAUGAGUUUCUCUCCGUUUUGCGCGAUCGCGAGGAUUUCAACCUACUGCAGGAGUUAAUUCUUCGUGUAUUAUUUAUUUACGCGAUAUAAACAAUCGACGAAGAUGCAGCAGAGCGGUUGGGCGAAAUGUCGAGACAUAUCAGUUGGGGAACGAUAAAAAAAUUCAAUAUCCUGCAGUUCUCGUGUUUACUUGAAGCCGCGGGCGUGGAAUUGCUAAGCGUAUUAUUUGUGCAAUAUCGCUAAUAAUCGAUACGAUUGACUGUGAUAACAUGAAAAAUCGCGGUCGCGCCAUCCAAUCGCACAGCUAUCGACACGGUCGGCGGACCCGAAUACGCUAAAUUUGUCGAAUUGUCGUUUGGGUAUCGUCACGUUACUCGGGCCCCACUCUUUUGUCUAUCGUUCGCGUUGUCUAUCCAGCGCUUCGCGCAAUGGUAUCAUUAUCGCUCGUAUCCAAUUUCGCGAUCCAACCGAAACGAUGGAUCAUUAGGCACGAACUCGACCGUCGAGCCAUAAGCAAUUAACUGCGUCACCCGUUAGAUAGGUACGAUGAACUCAAUGAACGCAUCAAUGUCCACGGUAUUUGUUGCAACAAGAAAAAAAACAUUUGCAGUAAUUAUCGUACGUACAAUUUCUUAUUUGCUAAUAUAGAUGAAGAAAUUCUUUACGAAGGAAUCUGCAUUUAAACGAAUUUCUUUGAAAUUAAUGUUGGAACAUUAUUAAAAACAACGCGUCAAAGCUAUGACGAAUCAAGAACGAACAAAUGCGAAAAUAGCAUUUAUGUAAUUCAAGUGAAACGAUAUGCGUUAAAAGUAACAAAAACGAGAAGAAGGAGAGUCCUGCGCGCUCAUAAAGUUAAUCGUGAGAAUUAAAUUAAACAAUUACUCGCAUUAUCGUCGUGGCUAAUUUAUGCGGGAAUAAUCUGCGGGCUAAAAUGGUGUUUGCUCGUGAUAACAUCGGUAAGUAAAUAUUCAUGAGUCUUUCGGAUAUUCAAAUCUGAAACAGAACGCUAUUAACGUUAACACCGGUCACUCAUAAUCGUUCUCCGAGAGCAAAGAGAAUUAUUGGGGAUCGCCAGUCUAUUCCAUCAUCGCUCUUGGAUUCUUCUGAAAGUUUAAUAAUGAAAGUAACGUAAAGUCUCGCCUGUUAAUUUUAUGCGAAAUGAUUUUCGUAUUAACUCUUAUUAUUAUAUUCUAAGGAUCAUGUAUAAGUCAUAUACACUGUUAAUAAUAUACGCACUAGUUGAACUCGUUCUCCGAGCCAAAAUUUGACGAUAACGGCAUUACGUUACCUUUGAUAUUAUGAUCCCAGGAUAAAAAACAUAAAAGAAUAUUUUAUAUUUUGUCUCGUUUUAUAUUUUGUUGCCUCAGAACUGCAUAAAUCUCGACGCGAGCGGAUGGCGGCAGUACGAAUGCGCGAGUCCGUCGAAUCCGGCCGAUAAAUUCGCGCGGCACGCCGGAAAGCUGUAAAUUCGAUAAAUUCCGCACGCCGGCCAAAGCCGCGCAGUUCGGUCACCCAGUUCAUUCGCAAAAAUUAACGUUUAAGCCCGGCCGGAUAAAAUGCCGCUGAACGACCAUUGAUCCCCGUAAGCUCUCUCCGGUCGUGCUCCCUGAUAUCCGGCGCGGAAUCGCGCGUGUAUGCGGCGAGAUUACACCUACGUCCAUGCUACGUGCUCACCAUUUGGACGGGAUGGAUCCUGCCUCGACGGACACGUACAGGGCGAUUUAAAAGGAGGAUCGCGAGAAAUGCCACAAGUGCUUGCAAAAACGGACGAGAAACGGACGAGAAACGACCUAUCGUAAGCUGGCAAAUUAACUUUGAUGGAAUUACUCGAAUUCACUUGAUUCGCAAAAGCCGAUUACGUGCAAACUACGAAACGACACGUCAUAACGAGUAGUUUCGUUCAGUAUUUUUUACUUAUAUGCUUAUUUCGGUCAUCAGUCUUUCGGUGCUCGAGUCAUUCUGUGAAAUCCCGGUUCGCGUAGGUCGUUAUUCGUAUCCCGGAACUUUAUGAAAAGUCGUAAGCUAGCUCGAAGUUCCAUUCCACGAGUACAAUACACGCUACUAAAUUUUUCAGGUUGUUUUUUUAAAUCAGCCUGUACAUGGGAUCAGUACUUUUCUCUUUUUCCAUGUUCCAGCUGCCGUGCGGUCGCGUAUGUCCUCGUUAUCGGCGCGAUAUUUCAGUUAGCAAGUGGAACGAAAGCGCUCCUGCAGGCGCAAAGCGAAAAUCGAGUGCAAUCGUAUAAAUUUCACGAUCAUAAAGAAAGAUCCGUUUGUGCGUGCUUAACGGUUUUAAAUCGGCCGGAAUGACGUGGAUUCGCGGCAGUUAGCGGGGAUCGCGAUGGAAGUGUGGUGUACGUUGUCGCUCGCGGUGUUAUCGGGACAGCGACUAUCGGUGGUUAUCAUCGGACGAGGACCGUAGAAAAGAUUUCCGCACGGUGAUUUUAUAUCGGAGCUGAACAACAAAUUGAAUUUGUGUUGAUGGAAAUUAAUUUCAUCGAGCGUGCGUCGCGUGUUAUCUCGUCGGCAUUAUCGAAACGAGCACAUUAUCAUAAGACCGUUAGCGGAAGAAAAUUUUCCGAAAUUGUUGCGGGAUUGAUCACGAUCGUCAAUAAGGGUGACGUGACGUUGCGUAAUGAAUGAAUGACCAAGAGGGUCGGUUCGAGAUCACCGCGAUCGAAUCGAGAUGGUCUCUCCAACCUGGUAGCGUCUUCUCGUUGAUAAUGGCGAACAAAGGGGUGUAAUAGCCCGGAUUGGAAAUGUCCCACUGAUAUCCAUUGUGCCGCACGACACAAUGGAUUAAGAGCAAAAAAUGCGGGGAGUUAUCAGUAUCGAGGCAAGAGAAACGCGUGAUUGUUCCACGGCUCGAUAAUAAGACGGAACGUGCGAUUGGCAAGGGAUUUAAUGCGAAAGAAAUUCGCCGAUCAAAAGAACGUCGCUCGAUACUUCUACUUCUCUGUCCCUCUCCUCCUUCCCACCCCUCGCUGCAAUGUCGCGGAAAUACGCGCUCUGAAUCCAGCAGCGCGGCUGUUCGCGCUUUUCCACCUCGUCUCUCCUUUUCCCGCCUCCUUCUCCUCUGCCACCCUCUCGUCCUCGUUCUCUCCGUCUCUCUUUUUUUGUUCUGCUGUUCCGGAUGCUCGAUGUAGCCUACGCAUAAUUAAAGUCGUCGCGAACUUAGAUUGGCGAGAAUUGCGCAUCCACUCUUUGGCGAGCGCGCGAGGAAAUUGGUGCUUGCAGCCUGAGAAACUUCGGCGGGCUCUUUAAUUGGUAGAGGUGCCGCGCGCGCGAGAUGCCGGAAAUGGAAAUCGACCUUGAGCUGCGCGGAUAUGCUUAAAAUUUCGUUAAAGGCGCUGAAAGAGGAAGACCGCGGCUCGCGAUAUCCGUCAACCGCACCGGAAUCCAUUUCUCGACCGCUCGGGGACAACAUCGGCUCCCUUCCACUCGAAAACGCAGAUUAACGAAAAUCGAUGGUUGGCGAGUUCUUACCGGCCGUUUUUACGCACCGGAUUUAUCAGGGUUAAACAGAGUUUAUCUUGGAUGUAUCUAUAUUUUAUUUUCAAUUUAACGUUUGAAAGAUGCAUCGCGCGGCAUUUCACGGAAGCUGCACAUCGAUUAAGAGCUGAAGGUACCAAUUGCAAACUGAUGACUUCAUAUCGCGAUCUGUGACGCGGCUCAACAGUCACAAUUAUCAUGUGAUAUUAUCAUGAAAAUACAUAAUUUAUCUCAAUAAUGACGAAUAUGAAAAUUUUAAUGCAUAUCAGCUUGGAAUGAUCGGAAAAGUCGUCCAAUAAUCCAGCCGAGGUCUCAAUGAAGAGACGACGUUGUCUGGAAAUGAUCGCACGUACACCUUACCGAGGCACGUUAAAUGAACUCUCCCCGCGGCGGCAUUCCGACCUGAAUGGCGUUGGCGAGAAGACGGCAAUGGGAUUCGCGCGCUUUUCGUUUAGAUAUAAUAAUUGAGCGAACGUGACGGGCAUUCUCGUUGCGCAGGAAGCGAUUUUCACGAACGAGAACUUUUUAGCGGGACACUUAGCGGGCGAGGAUGGGUGAAUACGCCUCAUCGAUAGGAGAACGGAGAAACGGGCGAGAGAAGCCGCAGGGGUAACUUGUGCGGGGUAGGAGCUGCAAGGUAGGCAGGCGGAAUAGGCGGCGAAUGUCGCACCUACGACUUUCGGAAUCGUAAAAUUUGAAAUUGCCCCGGGAGCCAUUUGCAUGCCGCGUUUUGAGGGGACGGUUUGCCGCAAAUUUAUUCGUCUUCUCUCGUUCCCUGCCCGGUUUCCUGCUCCGCUCCUCUCCGCUCGUUCUUUUUUUCUGUCUCUCUCUUUCUUCCUGCCCAUUCGCGGUCUUCGCGCGCCGUUGGGUGAAUAGAAUGGGCUUGGUACUUUUAGGGAGACGGAAAUGACACACCGAUUUUAGAAUCUAUCAGGAAGCAGACAUGGAUGGUUGAUUAUCAUACACGAAUUCAUGCAUACGAGAAAUCCGUGUCACAUACGUUUCCAUUUGCGAAAAAAGAAUGGUGAAAUGUCGUGUAGUAACGUCAUAGUGAUUAAGUAGAUAUCAGAAAAAUCAGAAAAAAAGUGACGUGUACGCUAUUGAUAGUUACUCGAAAAUGCUUUCUAAGCGAAAAUGUCAUCCGCGUUUCGACCCAAUCUAAUUUGACACGUGAGAAAUUAUCGAGAUUUAUUAAUAAAAUAUUUGAUCUUUAGUUACGUAGAAAAUAUAUUGACAAACAAAAUAAAAUUUCAUAUUUUCAUUCUAUGCACGUGAGAAAUUCUGCUCAAAAAUUCUGCAUGCUGCAUUACUUCAUCGUAUAUCAAACUUCUGCAUCCGGCGACAUCAAAAAUCAAAAUUCAUAUAUUGCUAUAAAGACAAUUCUAAAAAGGGACUGGCUGAGAGAUUUACUUACAAUAAACACUUGUGUCAUACAUAAUAUCUGCAUGAUAUUUGUGCUGCAGAAAAGAGAAAAUCUCGCGUUAAUCCGUCAAAAUAAAUUCUGCACGGCGACGCGCACCAAUAUCAUGUCGCUAUUAUGAGCUGUUUUAACGCGGCGUUUGAGCUACGCACACGCGCAUUACACGGCCUAAUUCUAACGUUUAUCAGGAUUAACACUAAACACAACGUAAUAGUGCGCGUCGUUCCGCCGUGUUAGACGUAUAUAGCCGCGGCUACGGCUGAAAGGGGUGGCAGGGAGGAAAGGGGAGGUUAAGUGGAAAUUGUUCCGCGCGUAACCGGCUCUUCGUCGUCAAAGCCGCGAUCCGUGAAACUCGUCACAGCCCUCGCUCGUUUCCUUUACGUCGCACUGACGUUGAAUUACUUUCCGAACGGAAAGACGUCGUCGUCUGUAUUUUGCUCUCUCAUGGAGAAAGAGAGACAGAAUGAGAGGAACGAAGGGAGAGAGGGAGGAGGGACAGAGAGAGAACAAGCGGCUUCUCGAGAGCGAGGAGCAAGAAAGCGGGUCACGUCGAUCGAGCGGCGCAUACGAGGAAACGGCGCGUAGAUAUCAUGCGAGAAUCGACAAUAUAGCCUCGCGCCUUCGGCUGUUUUCUUAUCUAUAGAGCCGAUCAGCGGGUGCGGGCGGUAGCAAUCGCUUGAAAAGCCGAUAGGAAGUUACCCGCUAUCAGCGACAACGAGUACCACCCAUCGGCCGUACGGUACGUGCCUUUAUUGCUGUUAGAUAACUCGUUCGACUUACUCCCGCAGUGGCUUCAUUGCUGGCCAUCGUGUCUGACGACCCUUGCACUUGGACAUGAAAAUUGUUAGCGAUCGAAACGAAGCUACCGAUAUUACUAAUGAUUUCGGUAUCCUUUGGUCUUAAAAAUAUCAAUAAGAUAUCAAGAACUAUCGAUAAGACGAUGAUUUAAAUAAUCGAACGAUGGACGCGUGAAUACGACAAAGUGGUCUGACCAAGAUCGGCUGUUUCUACUUAAAAUCGAAUACUCCGUAAGAAUCGACCAGAAUUGCAACGCCUGUCUGAGAAUGAUUUAUAUCCCUGCGGUCAGCUUAGUCCCGUGGCUCAUUUCUCGUCGAUGAAGUCGAAAGAGGGUGAAAUCCUCGUGAAUAACGAGGGGAAGGCGGAGGGGAAGACGUGUCUUUUUCUGGGAGCGCCGAACGCAUCGGGAUAUCUAAAUUCAUUACCGCUUGUUUCACCAAGUUUAAUUGAAUAGGAGGCGCGGCGGGGCGGCAAGCUUUCCGUAAACCCGAGGACAAUGGCGAGGUGGGAGGGACAUUAAUACGGGAUACCCCACGAAGCGCGAGGGAGAUAAAGAUUGCGAAGUCGGGAAAUUAAUAAGUGCCUACGUAAAUAUCUCGCGUAGGCAAGGCGCACCGCGCGCGAUUCGGUAAUUAAAUUUUCAGAGGAGCGAGGAAACUUACGUCGAGCACGCCGAGGAGUCAUUCUCACUGAUCAUACAUCUCAUGAUAAUGCUAACGCAAUGAGUUCGCGGCGAGUAGGUCCCGCGCGAUUAAUUCGCGCGCGGAUUUAGGAGCACCAUGCAUAUUAACUCCGGUACGGUCAAACGCGCGUUUCGUGCUUCCGCGACCUUUUCGCAAUUAUCCGACUGUGCUCAAAUUGCGCUCAAAUUGCGAAAGUUGACGGAUACUCGCGAGCCAAGUUCAUUACGAUUUUUCACAAAACUCGCAAUCAGGUAAAUAACUCGAUUUCGACCAGCGCAAACUCUUAUUGCUCAGGUCAUACGGAGCCGAGUUCUCUUUAGCGCGGCUAACAGGAGCGCGAGAUGAAAUUACGAAUUUAUCGAUUUACGUAGUUCAAAAACGGUCGGACGACACACGUUCGCGCGCUUUGCAAACUCGCUAUAUGAAAAAAAGGGAAGGAAAAAAGGAAUGAUGAAAAAAAGAUAUUCAUCUCACUGUACACUGUCAGAGUUAAAUCAGGUAAAUUCGUCGGGCUCGCUUUUUGAAACAUACUUCCUUUGUGUCUUGUGUCGUUCGUGUUUGCGGUCGCACUACCACGGCGAGAUAUGAUUAAAAAAUACAUGGAGCAUGAUUUUGAUUUCACGAUUAGCACGAGUAGUAGUAUCAUGACGAGAAAAACUGGUCAAUAUCCGAUCGCGUGAUAUCAAUUUAACGUACGGCGACCGGAAGUAUUGCUGAAAUCAAAUAUACGUCGGAAAUGGCACCGGCGGAAAUUGCAAUUGGAUACGUGCUUGUGCAUUCUACAACGCGUUAUUUUACAGUAUCCUGUGCGAUACUGUAGAGAGAAGAAAAAAAAGAAUGGCAGACCUAAAUGUCUCCGCCUUGAAUAGUUCGAUCCUUCGGACGCGUUCUGCUCCACUUUUCACCGGGUAACCGGGAGACACGAUGGACUCGGUUAAAAAGGCAACGUGUAACGUCGCUUCCUGAAUUCGCACGCGGGACGGGGGAUGACGUGCGGCGCGAGUCGUGUGAAUUACUGGAUGCGUGUCGGGACGAGGGACAAUGACGUUAGAACGAAGAGAGAAGACGAGGGAGAGCUGUCAGAUAGUAAAGCCGCGAUAGCCAGAGACCGACUCGCUGAACCUGUUCCUCUCUCUCUCCCUUUCUCACACACACACAUUACACUCUAUCCCAUUCUGUACGUAUAUGUAUAUAUCAUCCCUACGUGCACGUACAAUGUACCCCGCGUGCACACAAUGCAGGCGAUUGCCUAUGGCACAUACAAAUGCGCAGCGUGUACGCGCUCCGGCUCGCUUACUCGCUCGCUCACUCGCGCACGCGGCGAGCGGCGCGAAGCGUACGUCGAGCAUGGCACGUUCGAAUCGUAUCUCGAACGGAAGGCGCGCAACGUGCAUUGUUUCGCCCGAGCGGCAACGCCUGACGUCGCCCGACGACAUUUCCUUCGCACUUUAAACACCCGCGCUCUCUCGGGCUCGCGUAUCUCUGGGAUUCUCUCCUUUUCAUUCCGCGCCUACAGGGUGGCCCGGACGUUCUCGUCCACGCCUCCUCGCGGGAAUACCGCGUACUCGAAAAGCGUUAAAUUAUUUCGAUGUCCAAGUGAAACUUGUAAACUUGAAUCAUUGUAAACGAUUAGAACUUUGAUGUUCUAUUGAUAGCUUUAUUCAUGAUCUAGGGCAUAAGGAAUAUAAUAUUACGUUUCUUUUUUUAACGUCCAAUAUGAUGGCACAAUUAACGCUACAAAACAUAGAGUUUCUGAUCUAGAAAUAUUCCUUCUCGUCAGAAAUAAUUUGAUACGCCCGAAUUAAAAUCAUUUUCAACGUUUCAAGUUUGAAAAUCGUCGCAGCGAUGGUACAUCGAACUUUUCUGAGACUAUCGAGCUCUCGACCGAAAAACGCCAAUAAAUUCCGUGACGCAGUAGUCGACGGAUAUUUAACAACGUAAAAUAAAUUUUUCACGAAGCGUAUAAAAUGUAAUUAUCGCAUAUCGCUAUAUGUAUAUCUUCGAUUCGCCACGGAGCCGCGCGCGAAGCCACGAGUUUAGCCCAGUAACGAGUUUCCAUUAAAAAAAUUCCUUUCGUCCCGGCAUCAGCAGCGGUAACGUAGCAUAGGCAACAGCGAAGUCUCAACUCGGAGUCGACGUCUCCCUUUCCUUCCUGUUUGUCGGUGCCGGUCACCCCCGCCCGGCCGCUUCGCAGCGUAAUUUUAUUUCUCCGAUUUUAAGCGACGCUCCGGGCCCUAAUUUCGUUAAAUGAGUUGUUUGCUAACUCGGUUAAAUUCGCGAGCAGCCAGCCAGCCAACCAGCCAGCCACCCAGCCAGCUAUCUAGGCAGGAGGCGGCAGUCUAGCAGUCAGACAGGCAUGCAGCUCUUCCCGGCCGGUCGUCGGUCGACCGACCAACCAGCACCGAACCGGUCGGUGGGGUCUCGCACGGGUAAUGGUUUGACAUGGUUAUUGACGUUUCAGGCCGAAAUCUAAUUAUUUGAUAUACGUGCUUGUCUGCCGUCACUGCGGCAUACAGAUACGUCAACCAUCAACGGUGCACCUCCCGUUGACCCUGUCUUUCCCUCUCUCUCUCUCUCUCUGUCUCUUGCAUUUUCAUUCUCUAUCUCCGUCAUCACUUUAGCAAUACAAGGCUCCCCGACUACCUCAUAUAUGGUUGCGCGUGGGUUACAAAUUGUCCAAGAGAUAGGUACUCCUGGUGAUAAAGAUUCGAUAUAAAGGAUUCACGGGAAAUAAUGCACGAGGAAAAUAAGAAUUAACUAAAUGGACUUUAUAAUGCGGUAACCAUGGAUGGAGAACAUUCUUUGCCAGUCAAGUAAAAAAUACUUCCUUCGCUAAACUCGUUAAAAUCUCGCGUCACCAAGGCAUUUUUCUAGAAUGUUGAAUCCCACAAUGUAUUCGCGAUGAUAUCUUCACAGAUAUAUAAUUUAUAUAAUAUUAGAGACAUGAUAUAACAUAUAUUAAAACAUUCAAAUAAGAGCGUGUAUAUAUACGGGAACCCAAAAGAAUGUCUGUCCAAGAGCGAUCGAGUUGCGGUAUGCAUUCGCGGGAUUCGACUCUGGCAAAUACUCGAUGGAGCCGUACAUUAAGCAUGUGCGCGACCGAAGUACAGUUAGUUAACGUCCGAUCACACAAGAGCGGUCGGUUGCGCUACUCUAUAACAGCGUUACGUUAUAGGCCGGCUCGCAAUAUGCUUCCCCGGCACACCCCCCUGUCCGCGCCGCAUCCCAGCACUUCCUCUCGACGUCUACGAGGGUGAAUCUCGAGGCAGCCAACUACCGGGAACGGUGGUAGUUCGGUCGGUGCACUACACGGCUUUCGCGCGCACUGCGCGACGGCGUACUUAACAUAAUUACAGAACGCCGUGGCAUUGUUCCGCAUCACGAUGCCUCCGGGACAAACGGCAGUAAAGGUCGAACUUUGCCCACCACCAACUCGGCUACCGUGAUUUCCGAUCCAAUCUCGUUGCCCGCAUUGCGAUCGGCUCGCUACUGCGCCGCGCGAUCUGAUCUGAUUCUUCGGACUUAACAAGGAUCAUCCAGCUUAGUCAUCGCGUGGUUGCUUAGAUUGCUGCAAGCCGCUAAUCUCAAUUUCUGAAUUUACAAUUUUGCAUCCGCGUAAUUCGCGAAUCUCGCGAAGUUCACUACAUUAAACUCUUUUUGCGCGAAACGGAUCGAUAUCGAGAACUUUUUCUUGUUCCAGAGCGACUCCUCGAUUGUUCAUUACUACGACUGCGAUAUGCUGCUACGAGAUAUAGUGCAUCGAGUGAAUUGCAAGUAACCGUAAAGCCGCGGUUUCUUUGAGGCUAUCGCUGGCCUUCGUCCUCCCUUUUCAUAAUUUUAAUCGUUGCUGCGGAUAACGCCUUGAACGAAAGGCGGACUAGCAGGCUCUUUACAGACGGAUGACUGAGUUCAUCCGAAAUCGAUCGCGUUUUUCAGUAGCGGUUCGGGAAAUGAACUGGACUUUGUCAAAGGACGAGAUAGGAGCGAUCGACCGGAUUUUCGUGGAAUAUCGUGACAAGCGGAAGUCUAUGGCGUCUAUGGCUUUACGCGUAUGGAAGUUUAAACGGUUAAUGCAACAAAAAAAAGGGGCGAAAGGGAAAGAACGAAGUACUUUGCCAGGUAUCUCCGUCGCUCCGACUCGCGCAACCCUCUGUCUCGUUCUACGUCGAUGCGUUCUUUUUUCUCCCUGCUCCCUCGAUAUUUUCUCGUCUGUUAAUAGGAAGGCCUGUCAAUUGCGCUUUUCACACAGCUCUCGUGUGGUGCUUUACGAGAAGCUUUUCCGCGGCGAAAGAGCAUAAAUGCGCGCGGCAUGGCGCGACGCGCGCGUUCCACGCACGCACGUGUAUCCGUGCUUGCACAGUCGCAAGCGGAUACUGAACGCUUGUAUAGGCACGCGCAUGUAUGCAUGUGCACGUUCUGCAACGCUUCUGCACGUCAUGCAAAAACACGCACACUCGCAAGUGCGUCCAACGACAUGUCGUUGCAUGUAUACACACGUUGAAUGUAUUCGCGCGUGCAUGUAUACACGCGGUAGCUCGUGGUACAGGGAUGGACUCUACGCUCUGGUCGCCCGUGUAGAGCCCGCGUUUGCCUCUACGGGGUGUCUUUCAGGGAAGUAACAUCGUAAUUUCAUUAGGUAUCCCACUCACUAACUCAUUCGCUCCCGCGUUCGUCUCUCCUCUCCUCUCCUCUCGCGGCGCGUAGACGCGCAAACAAUGCCUGCCAAUCUCUCUCUCUCUCUCUCGCUCUCGCUCUCUCGCUUUCCCCCGAGCCACCCCGUAUCUCUUUGUCGUCGUCGUCGUCGUCGUUGCCGUCAUAGUCGUCGACGACCAUCCUCCCCAUGUGACCUAGCCUUGAUAAUGGCGACAGCGAAUAAAUCGGACGCGCGUAUCGAGUGCGCUUAUUAACUCGGUUAACGCCGACGAUUAGCGGGCCGCUGACGGAAUAUUUAGCGGUAGCCGGUUUACAAUAAUUUCGCGUCGCACGCCACGCUCGCUCGUAAUAUCAUCGUAAGCACUGAUUAAACGCGCGCCGACCGUAACGAUCGCGAUACGAUACGGCGACCGCGGUAAUUCCGCCGAGCGUAUUACGAGCGCAGUAAUGGAAUCGAUAAUAAUUACACGGCCGUGAGAGCAGCGCUCCACGCCGUUGUCCUCCGAAGAGCCGCCUUCUUUCAAAGGCAGCCUGGUUGCCUUUAUGCCCUAGGUUAGCGGACUGUGUGUGUAUGUACAUUGUAUGCAAAGUGUUAAAACUGAACAGUUCUAAUCUUUAUACAAGAUGCUUCAUUUUUACCGAAUUGACCAAAUUUCAUUAACCCCUUCGGCGGCAUUGACGCCAUAUGGCGCGAAAAAUGUAUGUGUCCAUGUCGGCAUUGACGCCAUAUGGCGUCCUUGUAUUUUUUUCAAUUGAUUGGGCCGAUCUUCAUAAAACUUAGUACGCAAAAGCUUUUUGGGUCGCUGAAUACGAAUCCAUAGUCAAAAUUUCAAAAUUCAAAAUGACGGAUCCAAUAUGGCGAUCAAAUAAAAUCAAAAUUUGUUCGGAAUGUUAUUAAAUCUGAUAUCUAAGAGUUUUUGGGACUGAUAAUACGAAUCUCAGAUCACAAUUCCAAAAUUCAAAAUGGAGGAUCCAAUAUUAUCAAAAAAGCAAAAUCUAUCCGAGUGUUAUGAAAACUGGUAUCCAAGAAUUUUUUCAGUUGCUGAAUUUGAGGUACAAAAUUGCAAAAUUCGAAGUGUCGAACCCAAUGAAGUGGCACAAAAUAAAUAAAAACUUGUUUCACUGACUAAGUUUUUGGAUGCAUCUUUCCAAAGAUAGUUUGGGUUCCCAAUUCUAAGAUACAAAUACUUAUCAGUUUUUCAAUUGUUCUUAGAUAGAUUUGGUGUUUUGACCAUCAUAUUGGAUCCGCCAUUUUGAAUUAUGAAAUUUUGUAUCUCAAAUUCGUAUUCAGCGGCUCAAAAACCCUUUAGAUACCAGUUUUCAUAACAAAUAGAUAGAUUUUGGUUUUUUGACCGCCAUAUUGGAUCGGUCAUUUUGAAUUAUGAAAUUUUGUACCUCAAAUUCAUAUUUCGCGAGCCAAAAAAUCCCUAAAUACAAGGUGUCUUUAAAAUCCGAUUACUGUUUUUUGGGUGCCACCAGGGGCACAAACAGUGAUAUUCUGUUUGCCGCUGAAGGGGUUAAUGGCGAAAUCUUUGACGAAUCUGCGAUCGAUCUUCCCAAAUUUUUGUCAAGAGACAAAAAUAUCGGAGACCGCUUUUUUCUCAAUUCAUAAAUGUUCAUCAAUUUACAAUGUAUCAUUAUUGGAUUGCGAAGCGAUUUGUUACAGAACAUUAUUACAGCGAAAGAAUGUUUAUAUAGUCAAAUUAAAGUGAGAAAUUAUUUGGAAUUAAAUGAGAAGAGUGACUCGCCGCGCGUAUUUCUGAAUUAAAUCUGAUUGAUUUCGCGGGGUCAACAACUUCGGCCAUCAACUGUGCUGCGUUUCUGAUCCCGAACGCCAGUGUCACAAGCACGUAUCAAUUUUUGCGUAUAAAAUGAAACCUUAUUCUGUUUAUCCGUAACGCAAUUUAUGAAAAAGGAAACGCUCGUCUCUACAAAGAGCGGAAUAUCCGUCACGACUUUAGAUUCAUAAAGCAUCAGAUUAUUUUCUCCUCCAUCAGCUUUCUAUUCUCUCUCGUCUAUUCCCGGAACAAGAAUUUAUAUCAUGAACACAAGGCUCGCGCUAUAAACUUAUAUCCUCGUCCAAUAUUUUUCUUCAAAAUAUCUUAUUACUACUCGGCGCAACAAAAUACUUUAAUCUUAUCUUCAAAUUUCUAGAACAAAACAAGAGGGAGAAAUAUCGGAAUCGACGAAAUCGUGAUUAACAAUUGAACAAAAUACACAUAACGUGUAACAUUUCACUGAUCGUAUUGGAUAAUGCGGAACAACCAAGGAGCAUCUCUGAGGAGGAGGACCAAGCAUGGACGCAGACGUCCGGGUUUCGUGACAGGCGAGCCGUUCGUAAAACUUGGUUCGUUGUCGACGAAACCUGCACGAUCUGCUACCACGUCGACGAGUACGUCAACGACGCGUGCAUCGCGCAGUGGAAGUGCCUCGGUAGUUUUACACGCGCGUGUCGGGAAUAACGCGCACCGCUGAAAACCGCACGACGGGACCGUAACGCGUGAAACAUCGACGCGCAUUCGUCAUGCGAGAAGUGAGGCGAGUAAUGUACCGUAUCGCGGUGAAUAAAAUGAAUCCGAAAAUAUACACACAGGGUCUGCAUCGUGUACAACCGCGCGACAUUCACGAUGUGCACGCGCUUGGAAGGUAACACGGAACACUAACGAGAACGAAAUAUACCGAAACGAAAAGCAUGAUGAACAUUUUCUCAAAUAAAAGAAUACUCUUAAAAGUGCAUACAGAAUACAAUUGAGGAUAAUUCUUGUUUUACAGCAACGUUUUUCCAAACGAGAUUGUUAUCCCGCCCAAUUUUCGACGCAGCUGCGUGCAACAUUCUUUAACAAUUAGCCGUGCUUUAUACGUAUAUUUCCCCGUAAAUAUGGAUUUACAGUGCACUACGGAUGGAUAUAAAGAACAUUCCUUUCCAGGAUAACAGGAUAGCGAGGCUAUAAAAAUAAUAGCUUCGUAAUAUCAGGGCGAUAGUGCGCUUUGGUAAUUUUCAUCUACAAUCGUAAUGAUUAUGAGUGGCGCCUUAUUAUUUUCGGUCAAAAAUGAAUUUUCUAUAUUCUUCGAUAGUGAUCAAUACUGAAAAGCAUUUUCCUCAAGAUUGAAACGUAUUACGUGCUAACUCGUCGUUACCGUCGCGAUUAUGCCACGCUAAACGCUUUUGCGCGUAUAACUCAUAACUUGUUCGAUAAUACCACUUCAGAGUCACUUGAGAAUCAUGAUUUCAGGAUCGUGGAAACGGAUUAAUGUAAGCAGCUUGUCCUCGAAACUGGGUGAUGACAGUUGUCGACGCUGGGAGUAACGCACGAGCGAAGAAGAAAUCUCUCGAUUUAUCGGCGGCACUCAUCCGCCCCUGAAUCGCAUCGACAAUCUCGGCUGAUUCGGAAGUCUGCGACGCGGAAGGAAACAAGUAGAAAAAGACGACGGCGAUCGCGUCCUGGUGCGGGACGACGAGGCGAAGGAAAGCCUUGAUAUAUCCACCAAACACAAGGAGCUCGAACGCCUCGCCAGGAUUUAUCGGUACUACGGAUAAUGGAUGGCUCCGCGCAGCUAUCGGAGACGCCGCUUUUUUAAAUAAUACAAUGCAACGCACGCUAAAAAUUCUGGAUCCUCUCGCGUGCGGAACGAUAAUCGCGAAUACGCGAAUACAGCGGACGGAUAUAGCAGGAAGUGCCUCGAAGAACCGCAAGUUCUGUCUGUUAAGUAAAACCGCAUUUUACGAGGUUUACAGAUCGCUCUGCACAUCUUGAUGUCUAAUAGAUUUAUCAGGUAAUUGAUGCGAUAGCCGAACAAAUUAUCAUCGUUCCUGUGCACAUGAUAUUUCUGCAACUGCUACAUGCCGAACCGAGGCGAUUAUCUCAACGUAGAGACAUCAGUAUUACGGGAGUACGUAACGACGAAAAGGAACUCAAAGGAUUUCGGCGGAACGAGCUUCAGGUGUAGCACAGUGACGACAGCUUAACAGCUUUAACCAGCUUUAUAGAGUAAAUUUACCUCUAGAAAGCAGAUUUGCACUAAGAUUUAAGGAAGAAGAGCAGGGAGAAAGAGAGAGUGAGAGAGAUGGCCGGUGCAUCCUGAGGGAGGACGAACCGCGAGACAAAAACCGCGGGGGCACGGUCGUCGGAUUGGACGAUCCUACGCGGGAAUGUAUUUAAUUCGAUUGGCCUUUGCCGCCGCCACCGUCGGACUGAAACAAGGGUGAGGGCGAGAAGCGCGGAUACGGUCAGGGAGGGCUGGCCUUUAUCAGGGGUGAGAGAACCUCUGUUUCCGCCGGAAAUGAGGCCUUCGGCCCCGCGCCGCUCCGCACCAACGACCUACUCUCCCCGUCAGCGUUUCCUCCGCUCCAUCCUUCGUCGUCCUCACCCCAUCUCUGUCGCACCCUCGCCCGCUGUCGUCGUCGAGGAUGAAAAUCGUAUUUAUAUCCCAUCUCUCGCGCGCUCAGGUAAAUAUUACGAGCGAGUGUACGCACCUGCCGCUACGAGCUGUGACGUGCGAUAUCGGCGUACCCGAAAAAUCGGCGCUUUCGCCGCAACGUGACGUGCCCCAGUUGAGAUUAAAUGAAGAAUCUCGGUUUUCGGACGCGAAUUACGGACAUAGCAAUGUAACAAGAAAUUCGGGCGGCUAAAUCUGAGGCUAUUAGAUCUCAUCUAUUUUAUUAUAUUAAGACGUUAUUUCUAUUCUCGCUUUCUGGCAGUAGCGCGUAACGGUAAGUGACUUGAUUUUGAAGAGAUAAAUUAAUGAGAAUAAUGAUUAAAUGAUUAAAUAUUCUGAAUAAAAAUAGAUCCAGGUGUUAUCCGUAUGUUAUAAUGUGUGUAAAAAGUGAUUAUCAAUUAAAAGAAUUUAACUUAUAAUUGUGAAAUUUUUUGAGCAUUAUGAAUGUGAUUAAAUACUAUAGUUUUAUACGUCACAUACGCAAAUAAUACAGUUAAUGAAAAUGUAUGAGUAACGCUUACGAUACACAUAUGUUUUUCAGAAAAAUACAGCUGCGGAGUUAAUUAAAAACGAGGACAUUUACUGAUUAAAGUCUUUUGUCUCCAAUUAAAACUGAAAGUACCAUCAAUGUCGCGUAUCUCGCACAUCAAGUCAUCCUUUCAAUAUCCAAAGAAUUCAGACGGUUGAAUUCAUUCCGAGGGAUGAUUUCACGGAACGGUACUCGUUAAAAACAUUACUGUACUUCCUCAAACGCUUGCUCGGCAAGAGGAGCCUCUACUCACGAGCGUUAAUUAAUUCGAACUCUGACAUAAACCGAUAUAAAUCCAUCCAGUGAUCCGACUGAUCGUCCACCCACGGGUUAUUAGCUGCAUGCCUUCUUCGAAGGAGCAUGAGCACCACCUUCGUACACCUUCCCACGCCUAACUAUUCAUAAGCCUUCUUAGACAGACACGGUUGCUCUCUUCCUUUCUCUAUCUUUCUUUCUCUUUUUGUUUUUAUCUCACGCGCGAAUCCCCGAAUAAGACGUUCUGGAUCUAGACGGCAGACGGCAGAGAGUGAAAAUCGGGGUGGAAAGAGCUUACCAUCGCUCUCCUAGGCGGAUGUCGACCAGCUCUCUCGCCCCCUUUCACCUACCCCCCCCCCCCGCGAGAAGAUGUAAUUUUCGCUGUAUGCCCAGAUUAGAAGCCGACUCGUCGGAGUUACCUCUCCCCCCUUCCCCGGUUUUGCCCGCCUGAUAAGUAUUGCCUUCCGUGUGUCAGCCUCCCGCUGAAUGCUCUAGAACUGGAAAAGGGAUUCGCGAGAUGAUCUCGGAACGAUCGAUCGGCCUUACGACGUGACGUGACGUCACGGGACGAGGAUGGACGGCCCGUUAUAUCUCGUUAAGGAGCUACGUAUACGCGCACAUUGACACGGAUUUGUGGAAUCGAGCGUAAUGAAGACGUACGAACCGAACUGUGUAAAAUAGAAGUUAUUGCUAUUAAUAUGGCUUAAAGCCGAGCCCCCCAUUAUGAUCGUACCCGAUGUCUUCAUGUAAACGAAGCCGCAAAGAGUACGCAUUUAAAUUGUCAAGAAAAUUAAAAUAAAUUUCUGAAAUCUUGGGCGAGA